UACAGAGGGGGCAAGCGUUGUUCGGAAUUACUGGGCGUAAAGGGCGCGUAGGCGGCCUGUUAAGUCGAACGUGAAAUCCCCGGGCUCAACCCGGGAACUGCGUCCGAUACUGGCAGGCUUGAAUUCGGGAGAGGGAUGCGGAAUUCCAGGUGUAGCGGUGAAAUGCGUAGAUAUCGGGAGGAACACCUGAGAUGUAGAUGGCUUACUGGACCGUAACUGACGCUGAGGCACGAAAGCGUGGGUAGCAAACAGGGA
rnacentral:rRNA from 1 species